UAAAUCAGGUUGUUACAACUCUUCCCCCUUAGGGAUUUUCGUCCCAAAAGAUCUUACCGUGGAACAGAUUCGAAUAUUUUUGUCCCAUAGUAUCUUCAGGCUCCCACGUAUCCUCUUCAAUACCAUGUCGAUGCCACAUUACUUUUACUAACAAAAUUUUCUUAUUUCGCAGUUCUUUAACCUCGCGAGCUAAGAUACGAAUCGGUUCUUCUUCAUAGGUCAUAUCGAACUGAAUCACAAUCUCAAACAGGGAAAUUACAAGCAAAGAUUUCAAC
rnacentral:lncRNA from 1 species